AACACAAAUAAACUACCUCCUAAACAUUUAGGCAUUGCACAUUUGUUGGAGGUUUAUGAGACGAGAGAACUGCUGGGCAAAGGAGGAUUUGGCUCUGUGUAUGCUGGUGUACGUAAAGCAGAUGGAUUGCCAGUUGCAAUCAAGUACAUCUCCAAACGUAAAGCACCU